GCAGCCCUUGGGAUAACGCUGCUCAUCCCUGGUGGGAUAACGCUGCCCAUCCCUGGUGGGAUAACGCUGCUCAUCCCUGGUGGGAUAACGCUGCUGAUCCCUGGUGGGAUAACGCUGCUCAUCCCCGGUGGGAUAACGCUGCUCAUCCCUGGUGGGAUAACGCUGCUCAUCCCUGGUGGGAUAACGCUGCCCAUCCCCGGUGGGAUAACGCUGCCCAUCCCUGGUGGGAUAACGCUGCUCAUCCCCGGUGGGAUAACGCUGCUCAUCCCCGGCCAUGAGGGAGCGCACACUCGGGAAGGCCGGAUGGGAUUUACAGCAGCUGGAACUGUCUGCAGGAGGGAUUUCAGAGGCACCAGCCCAACUCCGAGCUGGGGAAAGGCGAAAUCCUGGGGGGAUGCUGUGAGCGAGCCGGGAUGCGGGCGAGGUGAGCGCUGCCCAUCACAUCCCCCGUCCCUCUCCCUGCUUUUCCUUCGGGAAAAGCUCCAGCCGGCGCUUCCCCGUGUAACACUUCUCUCCUUUCUGCCCUUUUAGCCCCUGGCAGGAUGAUCCCGCCUGGCAGUGCCCCGGAGCGGCUCCGCAAUUCCCGUCCCUCCGUUCCAGCGGAGCGGUCCCAGGUGGCACCGGGGGACUCUGCUCCUCCAUCCUCAGCCUCCCCAAAACCACGCCAAAGCCUCGGCAGGCACUGGCACUCGAGCAUCCCGGGAUUUUGGGGCGUUUCCCGGAUUCCAGAGGAGAACAUGACUUGCCCUACAAGUAGGGGAGGAUGUUUCCCCUUUGCAGGUCAUUGCUCUGCUGGAUCUGAGCUCCCCUUCUCGCAGGAGGACAGCAGCGAUCCCACGGCGUGGAGAGGAAGCUUUUCUGGGGGAUUUUCAGCUGUCUCCUCCUGCUGGGAGGGGUCUCUGGGCUGUUCUCAACCUCUGCGAGGUUGUCCCUGCAGCUGUAACCCCUGGGACGGUCAGAAUUCCCAAAAGCCUUUUCCUCUGGGACCCCUCGGGGUCCCAGCGCAUCCACACCUGGAUUGUGUCUCACAUUUGGGAAUCCGACCUUCCCACGGUGCCACGAGGGGUUCUAUACUAUUUAUAGUCUGUGCUGAGCACGCUCUGAGAAUGGUUAAACCCUAUCCCAAACAAUGUAGAGGAAAUUCCUCGGGAUGUCUUGCUCACGAGCCAGGGCUGUUUGUGAGGUUCAGGAUGCGUGUGUGCCUUUUGUAAAGGCAGGAGCUCAUUUUUGUGUCCUUAUAGGACUGAAAGUUACAGCUGUGCUGUCCAUUAUAAAAGAGAUGUUUAGCAAAGUCUUUCAUGAAAGGCAGAUGUAUAAAUUAUAUUUAUUUUUUGUACCCUUUUGCCAGGGGAAAAUGGGAAUUUGUUACUGUCCUUGGAGGAUGUUAUGGUGUGUUCUGUGCAAGCUGCACCAAUGUAUGACAGUUAUCUUGAAUAUCAGAAGAUGCAGAAACUUUUAAAGGCCAAAAAUAAAUAAAAAUCUGCUUAAUCAA